UCCCUCUGUAGCAUCCACCAAUGACUGGCGGAUUGUGACAGCACUGGGGAAUGGAUAUGAGGCAGACAUGGCCAUGAGACAGAGUGGAGCUGCACCAUCUGUCAGGUCACUAAGAAUGGCAAGGCUUCUGCUCUGCCCUGUCACCACCAGUUCUGCCUGGGCUGUAUCCUGCGGUGGGCAAAAAGAAAUCCAGCAUGCCCUCUCUGCAGUCCACUCAAGACUGUCAGGUUUUCUGAGUGGGGUGGAGAGGACUACAUACAAUUUGUCAUCAGCUCCCCUGAAGAGUCACCAGAGACCAACAGACAGGCAGGGAGAACUUCCCUCCAUCUUACCAAAAAUAGCCUCCAUGGCUGCCACAAGCAGUGAGGGAAGACAAGCACACAAUCAAUAUGACUGAUAAGCAAGCUCUGAUUUAUUCAAAGAUCUUGUCAGUUUAUAUAGUCUUUUACAAGCAGCAACAAGCUGCUCAUUGUUGCUUUUACAAUGUCAGCAACAAGCUUCUCAUUGGUUAAUUAAUAAAGGUUCAUUAUUCUAUGUUCUCUUA